AGGCUGUUAGCUCAGUGGUUAGAGCACACUCUUGAUAAGAGUGAAGUCACUGGUUCAAAUCCUGUACGGCCUA
rnacentral:tRNA from 1 species